AGGAUUCUUCUCAUUCAAUACUGACCUUCAGUGCUUGCCCUCAGAGAUUGAAGUAAAAACAGUUUCUUUAUCAGAUUCUUGGUAGAAGAAUCAUGAUUCCUGCUAUAGUAUUCUCAAAAUGAACAAACAGCAAACAGCAACAUGGACAAAAAACAAAACAAAACAAGCUUGCUUGGAACCAAUACAGAAGAGUGUAGUAUCUCCAUUAGAAAUUUGGGUGCUGGAUGGCAGCUUAGCAAGAAGCAAAAGUUCAGACCUCGUGGAAGACCCUUCCUUAACUGAUACAGACUGA
rnacentral:lncRNA from 1 species